UACAGAGGGUGCGAGCGUUAAUCGGAAUUACUGGGCGUAAAGCGUGCGUAGACGGUAGCGUAAGUCAGAUGUGAAAGCCCCGGGCUCAACCUGGGAAUUGCAUUUGAGACUGCUCUGCUCGGGUGCGGAAGAGGGAAGCGGAAUUUCCGGUAUAGCGGUGAAAUGCGUAGAUAUCGGAAGGAACACCAGUGGCAAAAGCGGCUUCCUGGUCCGACACCGACGUUCAGGCACGAAAGCGUGGGGAGCAAACAGG
rnacentral:rRNA from 1 species